rnacentral:rRNA from 1 species
GACGAACGCUGGCGGCGUGCUUAACACAUGCAAGUCGAACGGAAAGGCCAUGCUUUUGUUGGGUGCUCGAGUGGCGAACGGGUGUGUAACACGUGAGUAACCUGCCCCUGACUUUGGGAUAACUUCAGGAAACUGGGGCUAAUACCGGAUAGGAGCUCCUGCAGCAUGGUGGUGAUUGGAAAGAUUCGGCGGUUGGGGCUGGACUCGCGGCUUAUCAGCUUGUUGGUGGGGUAGUGGCUUACCAAGGCUUUGACGGGUAGCCGGCAUGAGAGGGUGGCCGGCCACCAGGGGCCUGCGGUACGGCCCAGACGCCUACGGGAGGCAGCAGUGGGGAAUAUUGCACAAUGGGCGGAAGCCUGAUGCAGCAACGCCGCGUGCGGGAUGACGUCCUUCGGGUUGUAAACCGCUUUCGCCUUUGACGAAGCGUGAGUGACGGUAAUGGGUAAAGAAGCACCGGCUAACUACGUG